rnacentral:rRNA from 1 species
UACGUAGGGUCCGAGCGUUGUCCGGAAUUACUGGGCGUAAAGAGCUCGUAGGUGGUUUGUCGCGUUGUCCGUGAAAACUCACAGCUCAACUGUGGGCGUGCGGGCGAUACGGGCAGACUGGAGUACUGCAGGGGAGACUGGAAUUCCUGGUGUAGCGGUGGAAUGCGCAGAUAUCAGGAGGAACACCGGUGGCGAAGGCGGGUCUCUGGGCAGUAACUGACGUGGAGGAGCGAAAGCGUGGGGAGCGAACAGG